UCACCGUGAGAAGCGCUUGAAAAAAGGAUUGAUUUAAACCGUACUUUAAUAAUUAAUAACAUACUAACACUUUUGACAUGGGUUCAAAUGACGAGCAAAAAAUUGUGACGUACGCAGGCGACUUGUUGACCUGCGCACGCGUCACAACAUCAAUAUAUAACGAGCGGCAACUGUCGCAACCAUUCAGAUUGAACUCAACCUUCAAGUGAAACAGGCGUAUGUUAUAGUCGUAACAAUGUACACGAAUCCCUUUGAAAGAAAACACUCUGCGUUGAGGCAGACCCUUGACCGAUUGUUCAGGGGCGAGGCUAGGCUGAGCUUCAAGAAGAAAUCUUCCCUUUCCAAAAGCACCAGCAAUGCUUCAUCAGUGUCAUCAUCUUCCAAUGUGAUCCCAAAGUACAACGAGAAACGCUGAAGGAAUGUUUAGUGUUGUGACAGUGCAAACAUGUGAAAUGCUUCCUGAUACCGCAGAACUUCAAACGGUAAACGUCGGACGUCAUAACAUGAAACCGGGCCAUCGUUAGCUGCGGAUAGCAUUCGUUGUGAUUUAUGAAGCAAUUAUAAUAUAUAUUUGAGAUUUAA